UACGUAGGGGGCUAGCGUUGUUCGGAAUUACUGGGCGUAAAGGGCUCGUAGGCGGCCAACUAAGUCGGACGUGAAAGCUCCCGGCUUAACUGGGAGAGGUCGUUGAAGACUGGCAGACUUGAGGCGAUGAGAGGGGUGUAGAAUUCCCGGUGUAGUGGUGGAAUGCGUAGAUAUCGGGGGGAAUACCAGUGGCGAAAGCGGCACCCUAGCGUUAGCCUGACGCUCAUGUGCGAAAGCGUGGGGAGCGAACGGG
rnacentral:rRNA from 1 species